rnacentral:misc_RNA from 1 species
GAUGAAGAACGUAGUGAAAUGCGAUAAUUAAUGUGAAUUGCAGAAUUUAGUGAAUCAUCGAAUCUUUGAACGCACAUUGCGCCCCCUGGUAUUCCGGGGGGCAUGCCUGUUCGAGCGUCAUUUCACCACUCAAGCCUCGCUUGGUAUUGGGCAACGCGGUCCGCCGCGUGCCUCAAAUCGACCGGCUGGGUCUUCUGUCCCCUAAGCGUUGUGGAAACUAUUCGCUAAAGGGUGUUCGGGAGGCUACGCCGUAAAACAACCCCAUUUCUAAGGUUGACCUCGGAUCAGGUAGGGAUACCCGCUGAACUUAAGCAUAUCAAUAAGCGGAGGA